UACGAAAGGUGCAAGCGUUGUUCGGAAUUAUUGGGCGUAAAGCGCACGUAGGCGGGCAAGUAUGUCGAUUGUGAAAUCCCCGGGCUUAACCUGGGAAUUGCAGUCGAAACUGCUUGUCUUGAAUACCUGAGAGGGUGGGGGAAUUCCUGGUGGAGAAGUGAAAUUCGUAGAGAUCAGGAGGAACAUCGGAGGCGAAGGCGCCUACCUGGCAGAGUAUUGACGCUGAGGUGCGAAAGCGUGGGUAGCAAACAGG
rnacentral:rRNA from 1 species